rnacentral:rRNA from 1 species
UACGUAGGGGGCAAGCGUUGUCCGGAAUCAUUGGGCGUAAAGAGCGUGUAGGCGGCCCGAUAAGUCCGCCGUGAAAGUCCAGGGCUCAACCCUGGAAUGCCGGUGGAAACUGUCGGGCUGGAGUCCGGAAGAGGCGAGUGGAAUUCCUGGUGUAGCGGUGAAAUGCGCAGAUAUCAGGAGGAACACCAAUGGCGAAGGCAGCUCGCUGGGACGGUACUGACGCUAAGGCGCGAAAGCGUGGGGAGCGAACAGG